rnacentral:rRNA from 1 species
UACGGAGGGUGCAAGCGUUGUUCGGAAUUACUGGGCGUAAAGCGCGUGUAGGCGGUCGAGCAAGUCAGAUGUGAAAGCCUUCCGCUUAACGGAAGAAGUGCAUUUGAAACUACUCGGCUGGAGUACGGGAGAGGAGAGUGGAAUUCCCGGUGUAGAGGUGAAAUUCGUAGAUAUCGGGAGGAACACCAGUGGCGAAAGCGGCUCUCGGGUCCGAUAAUGACCCUGAUACGCGAAAGCGUGGGGAGCAAACAGG